AACGCACAUUGCGCCCGCCAGCACUCUGGCGGGCAUGCCUGUCCGAGCGUCAUCUCAACCCUCGAGCCCCCCCGGGGGCCCGGCGUUGGGGACCGGCACCGCCCAGCAGCGGUCGCCGCCCCCGAAAUGCAGUGGCGGCCGCGCCGCAGCCUCCCGUGCGCAGUAGCUCGUGCUGACGCUCGCAAGGGGAGCGCGGCGCGGCCACGCCGUGAAACACCCAAACCGCGAAGCGUUGACCUCGGAUCAGGUAGGAAUACCCGCUGAACUUAA
rnacentral:misc_RNA from 1 species